UACGUAGGGUGCAAGCGUUGUCCGGAAUUAUUGGGCGUAAAGAGCUCGUAGGCGGUCUGUCGCGUCGGCUGUGAAAUCCCGAGGCUCAACCUCGGGUCUGCAGUCGAUACGGGCAAACUUGAGUGUUGCAGGGGAGACUGGAAUUCCUGGUGUAGCGGUGAAAUGCGCAGAUGUCAGGAGGAACACCGGUGGCGAAGGCGGGUCUCUGGGCAACAACUGACGCUGAGGAGCGAAAGCGUGGGGAGCGAACAGG
rnacentral:rRNA from 1 species